rnacentral:tRNA from 1 species
GGAAUAGCUCAGUUUGGUAGAGCGCUGGUCUCCAAAACCAGGUGUCGGGAGUUCGAGUCUCUCUUCC